rnacentral:rRNA from 1 species
UACGGAGGGGACUAGCGUUGUUCGGAAUUACUGGGCGUAAAGCGCACGUAGGCGGAUUUGUAAGUCAGGGGUGAAAUCCCGGGGCUCAACCUCGGAACUGCCUUUGAUACUGCAAAUCUCGAGUCCGGAAGAGGUGAGUGGAAUUCCUAGUGUAGAGGUGAAAUUCGUAGAUAUUAGGAAGAACACCAGUGGCGAAGGCGACUUACUGGACGAUUGUUGACGCUGAGGUGCGAAAGCGUGGGGAGCAAACAGG